rnacentral:rRNA from 1 species
GACGAACGCUGGCGGCGUGCUUAACACAUGCAAGUCGAACGGAAAGGCCCUGCUUUUGUGGGGUGCUCGAGUGGCGAACGGGUGAGUAACACGUGAGUAACCUGCCCUUGACUUUGGGAUAACUUCAGGAAACUGGGGCUAAUACCGGAUAGGAGCUCCUGCUGCAUGGUGGGGGUUGGAAAGUUUCGGCGGUUGGGGAUGGACUCGCGGCUUAUCAGCUUGUUGGUGGGGUAGUGGCUUACCAAGGCUUUGACGGGUAGCCGGCCUGAGAGGGUGACCGGCCACAUUGGGACUGAGGUACGGCCCAGACUCCUACGGGAGGCAGCAGUGGGGAAUAUUGCACAAUGGGCGGAAGCCUGAUGCAGCAACGCCGCGUGCGGGAUGACGGCCUUCGGGUUGUAAACCGCUUUCGCCUGUGACGAAGCGUGAGGGACGGGAAUGGGGAAAGAAGCACCGGCCAACUACGG